ACUGACUUAUGGGUACCACCAGAAAAUUAUAAAUUUCCACUCUUAGAUCAAUGGAAAAAAAGAGGUCUUAAAUUCCAGUACAAAUGGUUGAAAGCGUAUCCAUGGCUAUCUUAUUCAGAAAAACUUGAGGGGGCUUUUUGUAAGUACUGUGUGGUUUUUGCUUUUGCUGGUGGUAUUGGAUCACAACGCUUAUGCAGUCUUGUUUUAACACCAUUUCAAAACUGGAAGAAAGCUACAGAAGUUUUAUCGAAUCAUAAUAGUUUGGAAUAUCACAAAACUUCUUUUUUAAAAUCUGAACAUUUUUUAAAUAUUUUUUUAAACAAUGCACCAUCAGUUAUUGAUAAAUUGGACGAUGAAAGGAUCAAACAGAAGAAGCUAAACAGGUUGAAAUUAAUUCCAAUUAUAGAAUGUAUUAUCCUUUGUGGUAGACAAGAGAUCGCACUCCGUGGACACAGAGAUUUUGGCCCAAUAAACUUUAAUAAUGAGUCUGAUGGUAAUAAUUCUAAUUUGAAUGAAGGUAAUUUUCGAGCUAUUCUAAAAUAUAAAGCUAAAG